GAGGGUAUAGUUCAGUGGUAGAGCAUGUGCUUAGCAUGCACAGGGUCCUGGGUUCAAUUCCCAGUAUUUCUA
rnacentral:tRNA from 1 species